ensembl:lncRNA
GGGGUCAUUUGGGGGGGGUUUCGGGGGGACAUUUGGGGUCACAGUGGGGGGGGGGGACACAGAUGGUGGCCCCACAGGGGGGGCUCCCUUAAAGGGACAGGCGACCCUAAAAGGUCCAACCCCAUUCAUCUUAAAGUGACAGGAGACCCUAAAAGCAAAACCCCAUUCAUCUUAAAGGGACAGGAGACCCUAAAAGCCCAACCCCAUUCAUCUUAAAGGGACAGGCCACCCUAAAAGCAAAACCCCAUUCAUCUUAAAGGGACAGAGACCCUAAAAGCAAAACCCCAUUCAUCUUAAAGGGACAGGCCACCCUAAAAGCCCAACCCCAUUCAUCUUAAAGGGAUAGGUCACCCUAAAAGCCCAACCCCAUUCAUCUUAAAGGGACAGGCCACCCUAAAAGGCCAACCCCAUUCACCUUAAAGGGACAGGCGACCCUAAAAGGCCAACCCCAUUCAUCUUAAAGGGACAGGCGACCCCAAAAGCCCAACCCCAUUUGUCUUAAAGGGACAGGCCACCCUAAAAGCAAAACCCCAUUCGUCUUAAAGGGACAGGAGACCCUAAAAGCCCAAUCCCAUUCAUCUUAAAGGGACAGGCCACCCUAAAAGGCCCAACCCCAUUCAUCUUAAAGGGACAGGCCACCCUAAAAGGCCCAACCCCAUUCAUCUUAAAGGGACAGGCGACCCUAUAAGCCCAACCUCAUUCAUCUUAAAGGGACAGGAGACCCUAAAAGGCCAACUCCAUUCGUCUUAAAGGGACAGGCCACCCUAAAAGCCCAACCCCAUUCAUCUUAAAGGGACAGCGACCCCCAUAAAACACCAAGCCUGGAAGUCUUAAAGGGCCAGGCAUCCCUAAAAGCCAAAUCCUAUUGAUCUUAAAGGGCCAGGCGCCCCUCAAAGCUUAACCCUGUUGAUUUUAAAGGGCCAGAUGCCCCCACUGAAGAUGCAUAAACCCCUCUUAAAGGGCCAGACCCCCCUUAAAAAGCCAAACACCCCCUUAAAGGGCCAAACAACCCCUUAAAGGGCCAAACACCCCCUUAAAGGGCCAAACAACCCCUUAAAAGGCCGAACACCCCUCUUAAAGGGCCAAACACCCCCUUAAAGGGCCACACUCCCACUUAAAGCGCCGGACUCCCCCUUAAAGGGCCAGACACCCCCUUAAAAGGCCAGACUCCCCACUUAAAGGGCCAGACUCCCCCUUAAAGGGCCACACUCCCAUUUAAAGGGCCAAACACCCCCUUAAAGGGCCACACUCCCACUUAAAGGGCCACACUCUCACUUAAAG